ensembl:lncRNA
GUGACUAUAAAUUACAUUGUGUUGUGUUCCAUGAUGCAAGAAGCCACUUAAAACUUAACAAAAUAAAAAAGAUUAUUAUCAUACAGAGAAUUAGACAAUGGAUUAUGUGCAUAUUCAAGCCUGUCUCAAAAUACAACAAUUAAGACAAACUGUUUAAAAAAAAAAAACCUGUCUGGCUUUCCAAAGACCGCUUGAAAUGCAGCCUACACGUUUAUAUACGAACAUCAACAAAUGUGCACAAGCAGUUCGGGGCCCGGGCUCAAUGUGUGGCGGAGUCCAACGCGUUUAACCAGAACCCUUCCCGUCUCCUUCAAGGUCAGCCAAGUUAAGGUAAACAUCGAAGGUGUCAACGAAAGUGAAUCUUCAUCGAACCUAACCUACAUGGAUAAAAAAUAUAAACCAUGGAAGUGAGACUGUCAUUAUGCAUAAUUACGCUCUGUACAUUGCAAUGGAAGCAAAGUGUGAUUUCAUUCACUGAGGAAAACAUACAGCAAAUUAGGCGACAGUGGUGCAUAGUUCUAGUUCUCCUGCAGAACAUUCCCAUGCCGUCUGAAGAAGAGAGGUUGAAAGAUGGAAAAAGACAGCAAAAAACAAAACACACUACAGGAAGGAGGAACCAAUGUUUAAAGACUUAACCCCCCCACCUCUUCAAUAUAUUUCAGGAUGAUGUAGAAGACACCCCCCACAAGAUGUCACAUCCGCAUCCAGCUCUGCAGGAUCAGACGAUACUGAAAACAAACUGCAUGGUGAACUGGGGAGCAGAUGUUCUUCUAAGGGACACCCUAGAGGCAGCAAGGUGGUUGAACUCCAAAUAUUUAAAUGCACUGUUUCCCUCCCUAGAAAAUGGCCUUCUUUGCCUCUUUUGAGGAGCAGGAGUGAAUGGUUGGCUGUGUUUUGCUACCACCAGAAACUUUGAAGAUUACCCAUCAUUUAGUUUUUCUAAGGACCCAGAAAACGAAGGCGGCGGGAGAACCUAUUCAAUUAAGUAAAUAUGUUUUGAAAAAUUAUCAUUAUAGAUAACUAUAGGAACUCAGUGUUCAGGCUAACAAAUGAGCUUCUAAUGUAAUGUUUGCUAGCUAACUUAGUAAAUUAAAUAUCACCAGCUAGCUAACUUCAUAUAGAUAUUUGGCUAUCAAUCUCGAUGUAUCGUUGUAACUCGAAAAUGCAUGUGUAGUUAGCUAACAGCCAUGGAAGAGGGUGGAUUAGCUAGCAGUUCCAGCUGUCAAAGAAGGGAGAGCUAUGAAACUCUGUCUGCAGAUUAAUAUGUCCCAAUGAAUGUCGCAAGAGAAUAAGGGUACGGCCUUGUGUAACGUAUAACUUUAAACCGUCCCCUCGUCCAUACCCGGGCGUGAACCAGGGACCCUCUGCACACAACAGUCACCAACGUAGCAUCUUUACCCAUCACUCCACAAAAGCCGUGGCCCUUGCAGAGCAAGGGGAACCACUACUUCAAGGUCUCAGAGCAAGUGACGUCACCGAUUGAAACGCUAUUAGGCGCGCACCACCGCUAACUAGCUAGCCGUUUCACAUCCGUUACACUUGUAUACCAUGGGUUCGACACAGUGUAUACAAAACAUUGAGGACACCUGCUCUUUCCAUGACAGACUGACCUGGUGAAUCCAGGUGAAAGCUAUGAUCCCUUUUUGAUGUCACUUGUUAAAUCUACUUCAAUCAGUGUAGAUAAAGGGGAGGAAACAGGUUAAAGAAGGAUUUGGUCAUAGGUGCCAGGCGCACCAGUUUGUGUCAAGCACUGCAAUGCUGCUGGGUUUUUCACGCUCAACAGUUUCCCGUGUUAAUCAAUAAUCGUCCACCACCCUAGGAACAUCCAGCCAACUUGUCACAGCUGUGGGAAGCAUCGGCUGUGGGUGCAACUCAAUAUUAGGAAGGUGUUUAUGUUUAGUAUACUCAGUGUAUGUGUACUUAUGUUAGCAGAUUGUGUAAGCAAAAAAUACAGUAACACACCAUGUGUAAACCUAUUAUGACUGGAGCAGACCAGCCCUGUUGGCUUCGUGUGCAGGUUUCGGUUCCAGCCCAGCACUAACAACCCGUAUUCAAUUUAUCAAACCUAAUUAGUUGAUCAUUUAAGUGUGCUAUUGCUGGGCUGGAAUAUAAAUCUGCUCACUCAGUGGAGCAAGGUUGGCCACCGUUGGUAUGCACUUUUUUUUUCUUCACCUGAAAUGAUGCUUUAGUAAUAAUAGCCAACUUGUUACUAAGAUUUCUAACCAUUACAUAUGACUUAGCUUACUUGUACACUUUGAAAUGACAAAUAGGGUUGAUUCUUUGAAGUGAAGGGUUUAAACUUGUUUUAAUUUGUUAACUUAACUAUUAUUCAAGAUGAACUAGUGUCAAUGUUGAUUAAUCACAGAUCACAAUUGUGCAAUAAAGAUAGGAAGGGAAUCUGUCUCUAAUUUGUCUCCGUUUCUGUGUUGUGUUCUCAAAUGAACACUACCUUUUUUUCAGUUGCAAACUUUCCAAUUAGUUUUAUUUGAUUUUCACUUGUUUUUUCAGGUUAUCAGUCAUGUGAUGCCAUUUUGCAGCUGAUAAUGGCAUGCAAUGCCAAUGCAGCCAUAGGCCUACAGCAGUGGUUCCCACUUCAGAUCUUGAGUAUGCCCAACAGCACACCUUUUGCUUCUCGCCCCGGACAAACAUUCAACUCAUUGAGGGCCUGAUGAUUAGAUGAAUCAGGUGUGCUUGUUUGGGCUACAAUAAAAACGUGUACUGUUGGCGGUAUUUGAGGACCAGAGUUGGGAACCACUGGCCUACAGUAUGAUGGCAUUUGCCUUAUGGGCAUUUGCAAUGCACCUCUUGACAUUCAUUAUACAUCUGAAGCAGAGAAUGGCUUAAUUUACACAUUGUUUACAUGUUGUCAUGCUAUAUCAAGGUAAGAUUAAAUAAAGACAAUCAAGAGCCCUGAUGGUAUAGGUGACCUGAAGAAGUGAUAUUCUAAAAUCAAACAGCAACAUUGUGUGAAAACCUUGUGAAGACUUACAGAAAAUGUUUGACCUCUGUCAUUGCCAACAAAGGGUAUAUAACAAAGUAUUGAGAAACUUUUAUUGACCAAUUACUUAUUUUCCACCAUAAUUUACAAAUAAAUUCAUUAAAAA